rnacentral:rRNA from 1 species
AGAGUUUGAUCCUGGCUCAGGACGAACGCUGGCGGGUUGCUUAACACAUGCAAGUCGAACGGAAAGGCCCCGCUCGCGGGGUACUCGAGUGGCGAACGGGCGAGUAGCACGUUGGUGAUCUGCCCUGCACUUCGGGAUAAGCCUGGGAAACUGGGUCUAAUACCGGAUAUGACCUCCCUUUAGUGUGGGGGGUGGAAAGAUUUAUCGGUGCAGGAUGAGCCCGCGGCCUAUCAGCUUGUUGGUGGGGUAAUGGCCUACCAAGGCGUCGACGGGUAGCCGGCCUGAGAGGGUGGACAGCCACAUUGGGACUGAGAUACGGCCCAGACUCCUACGGGAGGCAUUUUGGGGAAUAUUGCACAAUGGGCGGAAGCCUGAUGCAGCGACGCCGCGUGGGGGAUGACGGCCUUCGGGUUGUAAACCUCUUUCGACAGGGACGAAGUGAAAAUGACGGUACCUGUAUAAGAAGCACCGGCUAACUACGUGCCAGCAGCCGCGGUAAUACGUAGGGUGCGAGCGUUGUCCGGAAUUACUGGGCGUAAAGAGCUCGUAGGUGGUUUGUCACGUCGUCUGUGAAAUUCCGGGGCUUAACCUCGGGCGUGCAGGCGAUACGGGCAAUACUUGAGUGCUGUAGGGGAGACUGGAAUUCCUGGUGUAGCGGUGAAAUGCGCAGAUAUCAGGAGGAACACCAAUGGCGAAGGCAGGUCUCUGGGCAGUUACUGACGCUGAGGAGCGAAAGCAUGGGUAGCGAACAGGAUUAGAUACCCUGGUAGUCCAUGCCGUAAACGGUGGGCGCUAGGUGUAGGGGACUUCCACGUUCUCUGUGCCGUAGCUAACGCAUUAAGCGCCCCGCCUGGGGAGUACGGCCGCAAGGCUAAAACUCAAAGGAAUUGACGGGGGCCCGCACAAGCGGCGGAGCAUGUGGAUUAAUUCGAUGCAACGCGAAGAACCUUACCUGGGCUUGACAUACACCGGACCGGCGUAGAGAUACGUCUUCCCUUGUGGCCGGUGUACAGGUGGUGCAUGGUUGUCGUCAGCUCGUGUCGUGAGAUGUUGGGUUAAGUCCCGCAACGAGCGCAACCCUUGUCUUAUGUUGCCAGCACGUGAUGGUGGGGACUCAUGAGAGACUGCCGGGGUCAACUCGGAGGAAGGUGGGGAUGACGUCAAAUCAUCAUGCCCCUUAUGUCCAGGGCUUCACACAUGCUACAAUGGUCGGUACAGCAGGUCGCGAACUCGUGAGAGUAAGCCAAUCCUUCAAAGCCGGCCUCAGUUCGGAUUGGGGUCUGCAACUCGACCCCAUGAAGUCGGAGUCGCUAGUAAUCGCAGAUCAGCAACGCUGCGGUGAAUACGUUCCCGGAGCCCUUGUACACACCGCCCGUC